rnacentral:misc_RNA from 1 species
ACCCAGAUCCCCAAUUAGGAAGAUACGCCAAUGGAAAGACAAAUAAAUUGCUAAAAACAAAACCAAAUCAAGAACUCUAAAAUGUGAUGCAGACGAUAAUAAAUAACGCAUUAGGUUAACGUUUUAAGAGCAACGAAUUUUCUGUUUGUAAAUUCUGCUAAAGGCCAGAAAAUUUGAAGUUGGUCAGCAACUCACAAAACCAACGCAAAAAACUAACCAAGAAAAAAAGAGAAUACCUUUUUGGGAUUGGAAUAAGCAAAUGUGAGUCAUGAGACAAAGGAGAGACAGCUACAGAGAGAAGAACAGAAACAAAACAGAAAGAGAGAGAAAUCCGGAUCUGGG